CCAGAGGUGGGCGUAGCCAAGGCGGCUCAGGCGACCAGGACAUAUUCUGAAGGAAUGAUAGUAGAAACAUCAAAAAGAUACCCAGUUUCGUUGUGUUUGUGUAUUUCUGCAUUUUCACUUUGCAGCACCCGGAGACACUACAACAAUGUCCAGCAACCUUCAGCCAACCUGCUGCAAAGACCAAGGACAACGGAGCACAGGGCCCAGUGGCUUGGAGAGUCUCACAUGCUGCUGAGUGAGUGACCAGGACAAACUCCCUGUGGAAGGUCCCACAGAGCCAGGGCUGGCUGGAGACUUCCCACGUCUCAUCUCCCCAUCAGCAAGGGGCACUACAACCUCCCUGUGUCCAUGCUUUGUGUCCUGCAGACAAAGUCUUUGGGCCUGUCCUUGACCAGAUUCCUGAGGUUGGGUAAUCGCAAAGCACAGGAAUGGAUUUCGCACAGUCCGAGAAGCCAGAAGUCCAAGAUCAAGGCAGAGGAUACCAUUUGGUGAGAGAGUGAACACUGUCACUGAAGACAAGCCGGGCCAGGGUGUUGUUGUCACCAUUUCU